AACGCACGAGACCUGCGGACCUGCGGAAGGAUCAUUAUUGAGUUUUAAAAGGAGAUUUGCCUUUCGGCAUCUCUCUUUUUUCCUCUCUUUUCACCCUUUUGUUAUCAUUUUUCUCAGUUGCUUUGGCAGGUGAUUUGAUCUCCUGCCAAGGGAUUUUUCUAAACACAUUUUUGUUAUCCAAUAAUCGGGAUAUCUCUCGUCUGAUUUCUUAUGGCUUUUGAAUAAGUACAUAAAACUUUC
rnacentral:misc_RNA from 1 species